AACGAACGCUGGCGGCAUGCCUAACACAUGCAAGUCGAACGAGACCUUCGGGUCUAGUUGCGCACGGGUGCGUCACGCGUGGGAACCUUCCCUUAGGUUCGGAAUAACUCCCCGAAAGGGGUGCUAAUACCGGAUAAUGUCUUCUGACCAAAGAUUUAUCGCCUUUGGAUGGGCCCGCGUUGGAUUAGCUAGUUGGUAGGGUAAAAGCCUACCAAGGCGACGAUCCAUAGCUGGUAUGAGAGGAUGAUCAGCGACACUGGGACUGAGACACGGCCCAGAAUCCUACGGGAGGCAGCAGAGGGGAAUAUUGGAAAACGGGCGAAAGGCUGAUCCAGCAAGGGCGCGUGAGUGAUGAAGGCCUUAGGGUUGUAAAGCUCUUUUACCCGGGAUGAUAAUGACAGUACCGGGAGAAUAAGCCCCGGCUAACUCCGUG
rnacentral:rRNA from 1 species